GUUACUGUCUUGCUGUGUAUUGUCUAAAACACAUUCGUAAGAGAAUGUAGAUAUACUUCAGUGUCAGUACCCAUUCACUAGGUGCUUUGCCUCCAAGCAGCUCUCUCCUCUCAGGAACGCUGUGAGGUACAGCUAUGAGUCUUGUCUGUAUUUGCCAGGUGAGGAGCCAGGCACUAGAGCCAGAUAGUCUACCCAGAGUCUCAUGGGAAUCAACGGAGGAAAAGGUGACCCAAGGUCAGUUCCUGGCACCCAUGUCAGGCAGCCCAUAACUGUCUGUGACUCAACC
rnacentral:lncRNA from 1 species